AUCCUUCUGUAGCUUGUGAGCAUUGUGAUUGGGUGUUCACGCUUAUUGUGUGACAUGUGCCUUCCUCAAAGCUUGUUACGAUGUUGGCACAUUACCCAUAUGACA